rnacentral:tRNA from 2 species
GCCGAAGUGGCGGAAUUGGCAGACGCACUUGACUCAAAAUCAAGCGCCUACAAGCGUGCCGGUUCGAGUCCGGCCUUCGGCACCA